ACGAACGCUGGCGGCGUGCUUAACACAUGCCAGUCGAACGGAAAGGCCCUGCUUUUGUGGGGUGCUCGAGUGGCGAACGGGUGAGUAACACGUGAGUAACCUGCCCUUGACUUUGGGAUAACUUCAGGAAACCGGGGCCAAUACCGGAUAGGAGCUCCUGCUGCAUGGUGGGGGUUGGAAAGUUUCGGCGGUUGGGGAUGGACUCGCGGCUUAUCAGCUUGUUGGUGGGGUAGUGGCUUACCAAGGCUUUGACGGGUAGCCGGCCUGAGAGGGUGACCGGCCACAUUGGGACUGAGAUACGGCCCAGACUCCUACGGGAGGCAGCAGUGGGGAAUAUUGCACAAUGGGCGGAAGCCUGAUGCAGCAACGCCGCGUGCGGGAUGACGGCCUUCGGGUUGUAAACCGCUUUCGCCUGUGACGAAGCGUGAGUGACGGUAAUGGGUAAAGAAGCACCGGCUAACUACGUG
rnacentral:rRNA from 1 species